rnacentral:rRNA from 1 species
UACGUAGGGUGCAAGCGUUAAUCGGAAUUACUGGGCGUAAAGCGUGCGCAGGCGGGCUUUUAAGCCAGACGUGAAAUCCCCGGGCUUAACCUGGGGAAUGGCGUUUGGGACUGGAAGUCUGGAGUGCGGCAGAGGAGACUGGAAUUCCUGGUGUAGCAGUGAAAUGCGUAGAUAUCAGGAGGAACACCGAUGGCGAAGGCAGGUCUCUGGGCUGACACUGACGCUCAUGCACGAAAGCGUGGGGAGCAAACAGG